rnacentral:lncRNA from 1 species
UUUAUGCCUAUGAAAUUAUAGUCAAAACCAAAAUCUUGUAAGGAAGUUAAAGAUGAUACAUGUGUAUGUGUGUGUACAUACACACUAUCAUCUAUCUGUCUAUGUAUCUACUUAUGUCUGUAGUUUUUUUGGGUUGAUGACUACUUGUUUUUAGAACACUAGAAACAAAAUGACUAUUCACAUUGAACAUUUCAUGCUGUAGAAAAAUGGAGAUUUCUUCAUGAAUAUACACAGGAAAUUUAUUACACUUAAUCUUUGGAUCUUUUCUCAAAUUUAACACACAGUAAACACAAUCAAAAGACUAAGUGUCUUUUUGAUCCUCACAAUAUGACACAAUUUUAUAUUUUCACAAGGAUUAUAAUACUCAAUUUAUGGAGAUAUAUUCAUUCUUUCAGGUCACAUUAACUAAAUGAUUUUUUCUUAUCUCCUGAAAGGGUGUAGCCAAAAUAUACGUUCACCAGUAGCACUCAUGGCUUUCCUUGUAUCUAUGUAAGAUGAUGGAAUGAACACAUUUAACUAAUUUGUCCAUACACAACAAUUUUACACUUAAAUAAUCAGUGUUGGGGUCUUCCUCUUUGUGUAUUAGCUUUGGAAGGGGUGAUACUGAGUCAAAAUUUAAUUCACUAGGGGCUUAAUGGAAGUGGCAAAAUCAAACUUUGUAGCCUUUGUCUAGAAAACUGGUUUAUUUCUACAAUGAAAACUUGACAUGGGUUACUUUUUCAAGGUUAAGUCCUUUGAAAAUUCAAAGCUUCUUUGAUUUUGAACAAGUGACUAAGCUUUUAAAAUUUUAUCAUAUUUUCACUAAUAAUUCACAUAAUACAAGAAAUCUUGAAGUUUAUUUAUUGAUUUAUUAUUCAUUUAUGGUGGCUGAUUUAUUUUGAUUCUCAAAUUUUAUAGAUGAAGAAAUUGAGACUCAGAAACUUGCAAUGCAUUUUUGGUCCUGCAGGCAGUCAGUGGCAGGCCAGGGACAGUCCUUCACACAGGUCUUUGGCUUUCUGAACUGAAGUCCAUCACUACCCCACCACCUCCCUUCCUAUGAUUACUCAACAUUUGUCAUUAAAAUCAUGCAACAUGAGAGAAGAAAAUAUCCUAAAACAUGAAAAUCAUGAUGAGAAAUUCAAAGUUGUUUUGGAAGAGCUUUUAUUUUUCAUAAAAAGCCUUUAUCAACAGUUUAUAUAGGCCGGAUGCAGUUGCUCAUGCCUGUAAUCCCAGCACUUUGGGAGGAUGAGGUGGGUGGAUCACUGAAGGUCAGGAGUUUGAGACUAGCCUGGCUAACAUGGUGAAACCCUGUCUCUACUAAAAACACAAAAAGUAGCCAGAUGCGGUAG